AGUGAACGCUGGCGGUAGGCCUAACACAUGCAAGUCGAACGGCAGCACAGUAAGAGCUUGCCCUUACGGGUGGCGAGUGGCGGACGGGUGAGGAAUACAUCGGAAUCUACUUUUUCGUGGGGGAUAACGUAGGGAAACUUACGCUAAUACCGCAUACGACCUACGGGUGAAAGCAGGGGUUCUUCGGACUUUGCGCGAUUGAAUGAGCCGAUGUCGGAUUAGCUAGUUGGCGGGGUAAAGGCCCACCAAGGCGACGAUCCGUAGCUGGUCUGAGAGGAUGAUCAGCCACACUGGAACUGAGACACGGUCCAGACUCCUACGGGAGGCAGCAGUGGGGAAUAUUGGACAAUGGGCGCAAGCCUGAUCCAGCCAUACCGCGUGGGUGAAGAAGGCCUUCGGGUUGUAAAGCCCUUUUGUUGGGAAAGAAAAGCAGCAGGUUAAUACCCCGCUGUUCUGACGGUACCCAAAGAAUAAGCACCGGCUAACUUCGUG
rnacentral:rRNA from 1 species